CCUACGGGUGGCAGCAGUGGGGAAUAUUGCACAAUGGGGGAAACCCUGAUGCAGCGACGCCGCGUGAGUGAAGAAGUAUUUCGGUACGUAAAGCUCUAUCAGCAGGGAAGAAAAUGACGGUACCUGACUAAGAAGCCCCGGCUAACUACGUGCCAGCAGCCGCGGUAAUACGUAGGGGGCAAGCGUUAUCCGGAUUUACUGGGUGUAAAGGGAGCGUAGACGGCAGCGCAAGUCUGGAGUGAAAUCCCAGGGCUUAACCAUGGAACUGCUUUAGAAACUGCUCAGCUAGAGUGCAGGAGAGGCAAGUGGAAUUCUUAGUGUAGCGGUGAAAUGCGUAGAUAUUAGGAGGAACACCAGUGGCGAAGGCGGCUUGCUGGACUGUAACUGACACUGAGGCUCGAAAGCGUGGGAGCAAACAGGAUUAGAUACCCCUGUAGUC
rnacentral:rRNA from 1 species